GGUCACAGGAGCAGGAGAUGGGCUUGGAAAAGCAUAUUCCUUUGAGCUGGCAAAACGCGGGCUAAAUAUUGUUAUGAUAAGUAGAACUCUUGAGAAGCUGCAGAGAGUGGCCAAUGAAAUUGAACCUUGUCAACUGUAACAUUAUUUCUGUUACAAAGGUGGAGCCAGAAGAAAAAAAUCUGAAAACACGAUAGAGUUUGCUUUCUCCUUAUGAUUGAAAACUGAAGAUGCAUGACAUUCAGAUAUUGAUAACAAACUUUGGAUAAGCAUAAGAUUUUCAUGGCUUAGACGACUAACCUUAGAAUUUUUCUAACAAUUUAGCUAAUUGGUAGUCCACUAGCAUUUCUAAAAUGUUUCUCAGAUCUUUGAAUGUGCCAUAUUUGAACUGGACAUGUAUGUCUGGGGCUUAAGCAAAUGGGAAACC
rnacentral:lncRNA from 1 species